rnacentral:rRNA from 1 species
AGUCGAGCGAGGUACAAUACCUAGCGGCCGACGGGUGAGUAACAUGUGCCAAUCUGCCUUUUGGUUCGGAACAACACGGGGAAACCUGUGCUAAUACCCGGAUAAGUCCUACCGGAGAAAGUUUUUAAUGCCAAAAGAUGAGCCCGCAUUUUGAUUACCUAGUUGGAAAGGCAAAAGCUUACCCGGGGGACAAUCAAUAUCUGAUUUGAGAGAAUGAUCACCCCCCGGGGGGCGGAAACAGGGCCCAAACCCCUCCGGAGGGCAGCAGGGGGGAAUAUUGCAAAAGGGGGGAAAGCUUGAUCCACCCUCGCCGGGGGG